AUGGAAUUACAUUUGUGUCAAAUUAAACGCACGCAACUUUUGCAAAAACAAACAAAAAUAUACAUUGAUAAAAGAAAAAAACUAUCUGAAAAUAAAAACAAUCAACUAACUAGCAAAAAAAUUAACAUCAUCUUUAAAUAUACUGCAAUCUUUGUUUAUAGUUUUCUAAGUUUCACUUUCACUAAACAUAGUUUUGAAUGUGCUGCAAAUGUUUUCGUUUUCACUUUCCAAGUUUUCGUUUGCGCUUCGCAAAUGUACGUUCUCCAUUUUGACACAAACCUCUCAUGAGGGGCGGGCUUAACAGCGGUUCGCUCUUAUUGGCUUGUGAGAUUUUGAUUGACAGCUCAUUGAACCGGAACCCCGGAACAGAAGGUGGCAGUAGUGCACCAAUUAGCUGGAUGCCAACCGCUGUUAAAAAUAACAAGAAGAAGACGAUCGGACGCAGUUUAUCAGCGGAGCUGCAAGUAGUCUAAACAAACGGUAAUAAGAGUAUAAUUAAUUUAAUAAUAAAACACGGAUAUUUUACACGUCAGCAGAGGAAUAACAAUAGUUCAAGAUGAGUAAUCGGGAGGCUCACGGUCCGGAGCAACAACACCAUCCUCCUCGGCCGGACAAUCGAGGCAACCUUACCUGAGACGGCGAAACUCUGGACGAAGCAGCACUUUCUGUCCCACGAGUGAUGCAGGGGUUGACAGGCACCUGCUUCUGUUGAAAAACGCCUUCAAAAUAACUGAUAAUAACUUUGAUCACACAUGCAUGCAUCGAAGGCCAAGCAAAUGAAUUUAAAGAAAGAAUGGAAACAGCAGUGCAACAUGAUGCUUACUUUUACAGAGUGUCAGUUGAAAUGAACUCAAAUGUCUAGACAAAAUGUUUCUCCCAAUAGUAAUGUCUUUUUUUAUCAUUUAUAGAUGCUGUUUAACAGUUGUUAAUGAUUUUACAUGCAUCUGAAUGGUUUACAGAGUCUUAAAGGGAUAGUUCACACAAAAAUGAAAAUUCUGUUAUUAUUUACUCAGUCUCAUGUUGUUGUAAACCUAUUUAAGUUUCUUUAUUCUGCUGAGAAGAUAUUUUGAUAAAUGAUGGUAAGCACACAUGAGAGUGUACCCAUUGACGUCUAAAGUACAAAUAAAAUCUAAGGAGGAAAAUG